AGUCUUAUAUUCAAUAAUGAUAUAAAAUUGCAAAUUUUAUGGUAUAAAUCUAAUUAUUAAGGCUU
rnacentral:tRNA from 1 species